rnacentral:tRNA from 1 species
CGGGGCGUGGCUCAGCCUGGUAGAGCGCUCGCUUUGGGAGCGAGAUGUCGCUGGUUCGAAUCCAGUCGCCCCGACCA